rnacentral:lncRNA from 1 species
GAGAAGCAUAUAAGGCGGCAUUCAAAAAUAAAUAAUUAAAACCUGUUGCAGAGCAAGAUGUGGACAGAAGGGGUCGGUGGUCUCCCUGAGCCACAGAAGGGGCCGUUGGAUCCCAUACGGAGGUUCCUGAGCAGGGAGAACAUUCGGGAGGGUGAAGAAGUCGCCUGCACGGGUGAGGAUUAAGCAAUGGUUUUUGAACUUGGGGUGUAUCUGUUUAGCACGUGAAUCCCUGUUCUGUUCUUCUUGGUGUUGUAUUGGCGAAAAUGCUGAACUCCAUCCNUUUCAGAGUCCAAUAGGUCUGGCUCAGUGUUCAUGGAGGGCAGCCAAAGGAUGGGAAAGGGGGACCUUUCAGACCAGAAAUCCUNUCUACGUUGCUGCAGUUCCAAGUGAUCCCUUUCCCCCAGAGAAAGGGGGAAUCAGCCUGGGUACCUCAGGGUGAGGGGUGGGAUGUUGCUGGGACUCCCUGUCUGCCCUAUGUUCUUCCCAGGCCAUUUAGGGCUUUACUCUUGUGGACUAGCACCUUGGAUGAGCUCUAAAGCUGAUCUGGUCAGUCNNUCCCCCUAAUCCUUGGUGUCUUUCACAGGCAAUGCAAAGGGUCCUCCAGCUUGUGACGGAGAGGAAAUGGGUGCUGAGUGGCCCCUGGAUCAGACCCAAGUGACUUUUGAAGACGUGGCUGUGUGUUUCACAGAGGAGGAGUGGGCUUUGCUGGAUCCGUCCCAGAGGGCUUUGCACUGCAAAGUCACAGAAGAGAUUUACGCAGAUCUGGCCUGUGUGGGUAAGUCUUUCUUUGGCAGGAUUGACUAAUCGCUAAUAAUUAUUUCACCAUUAUAAUUUUGUAUAAUAGGUUCCAUUGCAGAGGGUUGCAAUCUAUAUUACCUAAACAAUUCACCGUUUCUUAUAACCCUCCAAAGAUAUAAGGCAGUUUCUUCAUAAUCCUAACCCUGACCACAAUUGUAACCCUAAUCCCAGCUCUAAUCCCAUCCCUAUCCUUAAUUCUAGUUCUAAUUCUAACUGUGACCAUAUCCAAAGUUAAGCACCCUAAUUAAAAACUAUUUUUUCUUCCUCUCCUUGAUUUGUUGGGAGAGGCAUUCACAUUAAAAAAUAAAAUCUUUAUACUUUUCUCUUUAGAAAGCUAU